CCUACGGGCGGCAGCAGUGAGGAAUAUUGGUCAAUGGACGAGAGUCUGAACCAGCCAAGUAGCGUGAAGGAUGACUGCCCUAUGGGUUGUAAACUUCUUUUAUAUGGGAAUAAAAUGUUCCACGUGUGGGAUUUUGUAUGUACCAUAUGAAUAAGGAUCGGCUAACUCCGUGCCAGCAGCCGCGGUAAUACGGAGGAUCCGAGCGUUAACCGGAUUUAUUGGGUUUAAGGGGAGCGUAGGUGGAUUGUUAAGUCAGUUGUGAAAGUUUGCGGCUCAACCGUAAAAUUGCAGUUGAAACUGGCAGUCUUGAGUACAGUAGAGGUGGGCGGAAUUCGUGGUGUAGCGGUGAAAUGCUUAGAUAUCACGAAGAACUCCGAUUGCGAAGGCAGUUCACUGGACUGCAACUGACACUGAGGCUCGAAAGUGUGGGUAUCAAACAGGAUUAGAUACCCUUGUAGUC
rnacentral:rRNA from 1 species